UUGAUNUGCGAAGGCUAUCGUGUGUAUUUUGAAGAGAAAACAUCAGAAAGUUUUACAAAUUGUGCUGCAUUGCAUUUUAUGAAGAAACGUUGAGAAAGAAAUACAUUGAAGCCGAAUGGCCGAUAACGUUCAGCGAUUUGUCGGCGAGACUUUUGUCGAGUGUACAACGUGAAACAGUAGAUGAACUG